UACGUAGGGUGCGAGCGUUGUCCGGAAUUACUGGGCGUAAAGGGCGCGUAGGCGGUUUCGCAAGUCAGGGGUGAAAUCCCGGAGCUUAACUCCGGAAUUGCUUUUGAUACUGUGAGGCUAGAGUGAGUUAGAGGAUGGCGGAAUUCCUAGUGUAGUGGUGAAAUACGUAGAUAUUAGGAAGAACACCGGUGGCGAAGGCGGCCAUCUGGGACUCAACUGACGCUGAGGCGCGAAAGCGCGGGGAUCAAACAGG
rnacentral:rRNA from 1 species